rnacentral:rRNA from 1 species
UUCCCCUUAUGACCUGGGCUACACACGUGCUACAAUGGCAUAUACAACCGAGUCGCCAACCCGCGAGGGUGCGCUAAUCUCUUAAAGUAUGUCUCAGUUCGGAUUGUAGGCUGCAACUCGCCUACAUGAAGUCGGAAUCGCUAGUAAUCGCGGAUCAGCACGCCGCGGUGAAUACGUUCCCGGGUCUUGUACACACCGCCCGUCACACCAUGAGAGUUUGUAACACCCAAAGCCGGUGGGGUAACCUUUUAGGAGCCAGCCGUCUAAGGUGGGACAGAUGAUUAGGGUGAAGUCGUAACAAGGUAGCCGUAGGAGAACCUGCGGUUGGAUCACCC